CUAACAAGGAUUCCCCUAGUAACUGCGAGUGAAGCGGGAAGAGCUCAAAUUUUGAAUCUGGCGGUCUUCGGCCGUCCGAGUUGUAAUCUAGAGAAGCGUUUUCCGCGCUGGACCGUGUAUAAGUUUCCUGGAAGGGAGCGUCGUAGAGGGUGAGAAUCCCGUCUUUGACACGGACUACCAGUGCUAUGUGAUGCGCUCUCGACGAGUCGAGUUGUUUGGGAAUGCAGCUCAAAAUGGGUGGUAAAUUCCAUCUAAAGCUAAAUACAGGCGAGAGACCGAUAGCGAACAAGUACCGUGAGGGAAAGAUGAAAAGAACUUUGGAAAGAGAGUUAAACAGUACGUGAAAUUGCUGAAAGGGAAACGCUUGAUGUCAGUCGCGUCGGCCGGGGAUCAACCUUGCUUCUCGCUGGGUGUACUUCCCGGCGGACGGGUCAGCAUCAGUUUCGGUCGCCGUACAAGGGCGAGGGGAACGUGGCACUCUUCGGGGUGUGUUAUAGCCUUUCGUCGCAUGCGGUGGUGGGGACUGAGGAACUCAGCACGGCUUCGGUCUGUGCUCAGGAUGCUGGCAUAAUGGCCUUAAGCGACCCGUCUUGAAACACGGACCAAGGAGUCUAACAUGCCUGCGAGUGUUUGGGUGACAAACCCGAGCGCGCAAUGAAAGUGAAAGUUGAGACCUCUGUCGUGGA
rnacentral:rRNA from 1 species